rnacentral:lncRNA from 1 species
AGUGUAUCUGCUUGAUUUAUCUUUUAAACAAAUAACAUCACAAUUUGAUAGAAGCAUGCAUAUAAUUGACAGAAUAAAAUUUGAAAUGAAGAUCAGCGUUAUUUUUCAAAUUUGAACUCUUAAAAAUUGGAUAACAAGAUCCUCUACAUCACGACUUUCAUUUCCAGGAUUUUCUCAAGCCUAGAACUGAUCCGGUAUCGGCUCCCAUCUCUUCGGCCGAAGCAGAAGAGAAUGAUCAGAAAAAUGUAACUGGCCAACCUUCUUCGAACUGUAGAAACUUUCGGGUAUCGUCUUCUGAAGAAUGUUCCCUACGAUGGGAACUGCUUUUUUUCAUGUUGUUGGUGCCACAAAUGGUGAGGAUGGCAAGCACUUGAGAGAGAGAUUCGUUCAGCAUAUUGUAAGAGAGGUAUAAAACAUUGCUUUCGUGGGGAAGUUAUACGUCAACAUUCAAAGAAACAGACAAGUCAAAAGAUUUCCUGUGGCCAUAAGUUAUACAGACCAGAAAUUGUUAUGGAUGUAUGUGUGACCACUCAGAACACUCAGCCUAAAAGUAACUUAUGGGUGCUGCAGACCAAUUAUGCCGACGUCAUGGAUUCUAGGGUGUGCAAAGCAACUGCUGAACUCAUUUUACAACCCGUACACAUCAUCACGCACUCCAAAGAUGCGAAAAAAACUGCCGCGGUUUGAGGUUGUAUAGUCCGAGUAAGUCUGUUCGACGAACCAAGUUCAGCUGAUAACAAUAGGUCACAUCCAGGACAGUCACUUUGUUCCACUUGUAAAAACUGUCUGAUGGAUGGGAUGGACAUUCUCGAUCUGAAGCUGCAGAUUUCCUUCACUCGAUAACCUAGCUUCGACUUUAUUGUGAUCUUCAUGGUUCUGUAUCAAGGUCUUUCUGCUUUGUCGGGGAUCAAUGUACAACUACAAGAAAAGGCAACCGAUGUGUAUGAUGCUUUUAAAAAGACAGGUUGACAACAUGAAAGAGAUGUACAAUGCCUUGCGAAAGAAAAUCAUCCAGAGCUUCCAUGACUGGUUUUGGCAGGCCACAUCGCAUGACAGAAAGGGU